UAGUGUGAAUGGACGAAUGACGUGAAUGCUGCGAAUGCUUUGAACGACACAUUGUGCGACCCUCUGGUAUGUCCGGGGGGCAUGCCUGUUCGAGCGUGCAUUACACCUCUCAAGCUCUGCUUGGUAUUGGGCUAUCGUCCCCUGUGGACGGGCCUGAAAAACAGUGGCGGUCCCGCCGGUACUCAAGCGCAGUUAAUUAUCUCCCGCUUUGGAGUCACCGUUUGGACCCGCCAGACAACCCUCAAUUUAUUUCAAUGGUUGACCUCGGAUCAGGUAGGGAUACCCGCUGAACUUAAGCAUAUCAAUAAGCGGAGGAAAAGAAACCAACAGGGAUUGCCUCAGUAACGGCGAGUGAAGCGGCAACAGCUCAAAUUUGAAAUCUGGCUUUCGGGCCCGAGUUGUAAUUUGUAGAGGGGAUUUCGGAGGCGGCGCCGGCCUAAGUUCCUUGGAACAGGGCGUCAUAGAGGGUGAGAAUCCCGUACGUGGCCGGCGGUCAAUUCCAUGUGAAACCCCUUCGACGAGUCGAGUUGUUUGGGAAUGCAGCUCAAAAUGGGUGGUAAAUCUCAUCUAAAGCUAAAUACCGGCCAGAGACCGAUAGCGCACAAGUAGAGUGAUCGAAAGAUGAUAAGCACUUUGGAGAGAGAGUUAAAAAGUACGUGAAAUUGUGGAUAGGGAACCCGGAGAGAAAA
rnacentral:rRNA from 1 species